GCCUAUGGAUCAUAGCCCCAAAUCGGUAGAGCAUGAGACUCUUAAUGUCAGGGUUGUGGGUUUGAGUCCCAUAUUGGGCA